rnacentral:rRNA from 1 species
GACGAACGCUGGCGGCGUGCUUAACACAUGCAAGUCGAACGGAAAGGCCUCUUUCGGGGGGUACUCGAGUGGCGAACGGGUGAGUAACACGUGAGUAACCUGCCCUUGACUUUGGGAUAACUUCAGGAAACUGGGGCUAAUACCGGAUAGGAGCUCCUGCUGCAUGGUGGGGGUUGGAAAGUUUCGGCGGUUGGGGAUGGACUCGCGGCUUAUCAGCUUGUUGGUGGGGUAGUGGCUUACCAAGGCCGUGACGGGUAGCCGGCCUGAGAGGGUGACCGGCCACAUUGGGACUGAGAUACGGCCCAGACUCCUACGGGAGGCAGCAGUGGGGAAUAUUGCACAAUGGGUGGAAGCCUGAUGCAGCAACGCCGUGUGCGGGAUGACGGCCUUCGGGUUGUAAACCGCUUUCGCUCAUGACGAAGCUUUGUGUGACGGUAGUGGGUAAAGAAGCACCGGCUAACUACGUG